UACGUAGGGUGCAAGCGUUAAUCGGAAUUACUGGGCGUAAAGCGUGCGCAGGCGGUUUUGUAAGUCUGACGUGAAAUCCCCGGGCUCAACCUGGGAAUUGCGUUGGAGACUGCAAGGCUGGAGUCUGGCAGAGGGGGGUAGAAUUCCACGUGUAGCAGUGAAAUGCGUAGAGAUGUGGAGGAACACCGAUGGCGAAGGCAGCCCCCUGGGUCAAGACUGACGCUCAUUCACUAAAGCGUGGGGAGCAAACAGG
rnacentral:rRNA from 1 species